rnacentral:rRNA from 1 species
AUUGAACGCUGGCGGCAUGCUUUACACAUGCAAGUCGAACGGUAACAGGCCGCAAGGUGCUGACGAGUGGCGAACGGGUGAGUAAUGCAUCGGAACGUGCCCAGUCGUGGGGGAUAACGCAGCGAAAGCUGCGCUAAUACCGCAUACGAUCUAUGGAUGAAAGCGGGGGACCGUAAGGCCUCGCGCGAUUGGAGCGGCCGAUGUCAGAUUAGGUAGUUGGUGGGGUAAAGGCUCACCAAGCCAACGAUCUGUAGCUGGUCUGAGAGGACGACCAGCCACACUGGGGAUGAGACACGGCCCAGACUCCUACGGGAGGCAGCGGUGGGGAAUUUUGGACAAUGGGCGCAAGCCUGAUCCAGCAAUGCCGCGUGCAGGAAGAAGGCCUUCGGGUUGUAAGCUGCUUUUGUACGGAACGAAACGGUCCUGGUUAAUACCUGGGGCUAAUGACGGUGCCGUAAGAAUAAGCACCGGCUAACUACGUGCCAGCCGCCGCAGUAAGAC